AAAGGGCGUCCAUGUUGGGCAGAGGGUGACUGAAGAGGAAACAAGAGAGGAAAAUAAAACAAGAAAAGUGAAAAGUAAAAUGGGAGAAGGAAGAGCAGGAAAGAAACAAACCUGCCAAUGAACCCAGAGGAAAGAAAUGGGAGGAGAGCCUAGAGGUAUACAGAUAGUCUUGCUUCUGAGCUUAUCUGGACCUACCUGAACCUGUGCUCUGGCCUCCCACUUUGCAACUAUCUCCCUCCCAUUGCUGACGUGGCCCUUGAUCAACUGCAACGGUAAGGUGAAAAUCACUGUGAACUGUAGCACACAAGCUAAAAGGUGUCAGCUAAGCAAGACUGCUCUAGUCUCCAGGGCUCAAUAAAGACAAUGCCAUCCGAGGAGAAGAAGGACAUGCGAAGGAAGCCUACAUUGCUCUCCUCUGCCCAGAAACCCACUCCCCAGCAUGGACGACCCUCUGACGUUGCUCUCCCUUCUGGUCACUGUCACCAAGCCAGGAGGCAGAGGCUGAGAAUAUAUCCAAAAGGUUCCAAGCAGAGUUCUCAGGCCACAGCCUCCUCAGGAACCCUAAGAACAGCUGGACCUGUCUGACAUAGCCAACAGAAUGUUCAAGCAAG
ensembl:lncRNA